GCUGCCCAGUUUCAAAAAUGAACGGUCACUCUGGUUGCUGGAGCAGGUCUUUCAGAUGGCAGCUCAGCCAAAUAGAAUAUUUGGUGAUUUUCUCGAAUGAGUCACCACGCACAGCAGUUUUUGGAGGACAAGUCACCUUUGGACUAGUUGGAGGGCUUGAUUUUUCUUUAUUCUUUUUCUUUAAGGGUCCGCUAUCUUCACGUCUUGGCCAGAAUAAGGUGGGAGAGAGAGAGGACAAGGGCAGCAGCAGCAUACACACGAAAUGUAUUCUAAUAGGCAGCAGAGAGUCAAACAUCUUUGAAAAAGAAUAAGAGAGAAGAGGGCCAGCGACGAGCAAGCGCGAGGUUCUUCGUUUUAUGGCUGGCGUCAGAUGUGCAUAUGCAUCUCUUCUCCUUCUCUCUGAAACUGCUGAUGGCGACUAGAGUCAGAUUGUGGCCUUAUAUGGUCAAGGAAUAUCCCCACCACCAUGCACGACCAUCACUUGGUUUAUUCUCUACUGCUGGGCUCUGCUCUCACGGCUCGCAACGGAACCUCGUCCUAUAUAAAUUCCCCCCACCACCACAUCUCUGCUUUCCAUCUUUCUCUUUCUAUAUACUGACAUUUUUUCACUUCUUCUUCUUCGUCUUCUCAUUCGUCCUUUCUCUCUUUCACUGCGCGCAGCGUUGCCACACGACUUUUUGGGGGCCACCGCCGGCUGCUGGCUGCGUGACUCGACCGUUCGACUGAAUCACCUCAGAUUAUUCUCUGAACGUGCAACACGACAUCUAUACCCCAGCACCAACUCUUAUAUAUGUUUGCUACACAUCUUUCGAGCUAUCGAGUCCUUUUGAUGACGGUCUUUUGGCUGUUGGAGUUGAUCUGACGGCAUGUAUAAUAAGCAGAGCGACUACUCUAUAUACAUUGCGGGAGUCGUUCCGAGAAUUCCCGCACAAUCACCUUGACGUGUUCUGGAAAAUUAGUCAUCGGCCAGUUAUCACCUCUACCGAUUUGGAGCUAACAGACGAUUACCAUCGCGCCCACUCGCGUGAUUGGCCUGUCCGAAUACAAGCAGGUGGUGGCCUCAUCUUGUAUCGUCUUGUAUGUAUACCUAAUAGAAAAUCGGUCGCCGUUUUUUUGUGCGUGUGUCUGGAUGUUAAAGAGACAUCCCAGCAGAUGAAACAUCGCAAACUUUCACUUCUCUGGAAAGUUCACGCUAUAUGUGUGAUUAUCUCCUUUUUGUGUCUAUUUUUCUGAUCGUACUGUGAAUAUAAGCUCCUUGUUAUUGGCCGUGUUAUGUAGCCUAAUUGAAUGUAACACGAAAUCUCU